GGCUUGAGUCUUGUAGAGGGGGGUAGAAUUCCAGGUGUAGCGGUGAAAUGCGUAGAGAUCUGGAGGAAUACCGGUGGCGAAGGCGGCCCCCUGGACAAAGACUGACGCUCAGGUGCGAAAGCGUGGGGAGCAAACAGGAUUAGAUACCCUGGUAGUCCACGCCGUAAACGAUGUCUACUUGGAGGUUGUGCCCUUGAGGCGUGGCUUCCGGAGCUAACGCGUUAAGUAGACCGCCUGGGGAGUACGGCCGCAAGGUUAAAACUCAAAUGAAUUGACGGGGGCCCGCACAAGCGGUGGAGCAUGUGGUUUAAUUCGAUGCAACGCGAAGAACCUUACCUGGUCUUGACAUCCACAGAACUUUCCAGAGAUGGAUUGGUGCCUUCGGGAACUGUGAGACAGGUGCUGCAUGGCUGUCGUCAGCUCGUGUUGUGAAAUGUUGGGUUAAGUCCCGCAACGAGCGCAAC
rnacentral:rRNA from 1 species